GGUUGAGUUCAAAUAUAAGCCGAUCAAAGGCUUUUAAUAUCUCGAAGUCGAUCAAAUAUUGAGUUCAAUAUAACUCGCAUUUAUAUGUAGAAAGACCGACGUUGACAAAUUAGAGUAUUCAUUUAUGCAUAUAUUUUAGUAAAAUUAUAAUAUCACUGAUAAUACAUGCAGAGGUUAGCCGAGUUUUAUGAUCUUUGGAGUAAGGUUCCAUCAAGCUGUUUUGGUUUAUAAGUUUUGGAGCAUACUAUCUCAUCCACCUGAUAAGGACCUUCCCAAUUAGGUGAUAACUUUCUUUGCUCUGUAGGCUGUGAGACUUCGACGUGCCGUAGCACCAUAUCACCAACUCAAAAUUUCUUAGACUUGACUUGAAAAUUAUAAUACUUAGCCAUCCUUUAUCGGUAGAAUACCAUUCAUAUAGCAGAUCGUUCCCUACUCUCCUCUAUCAAAUCAAGGUUGGUUCGCAACCAUUCAGAGUUGGUAUCUUUAUUGUACUCCUCGACUCUGAAGGA
rnacentral:lncRNA from 1 species